rnacentral:lncRNA from 1 species
UGGAAGAAGUAAAUGUGGCAGUCUGUGAAACACAACCUGGCCCAGAUACCCUACCUUUAGGCCCCACCAGUUAGAUGUCUGCAGUCCUGCUUCCUUGUAGCUUGGCAAGGACGUGAAACUAAAGGAUAACCAACUCUUUUAGAACAUGCAAACAUCUCUAUUUGUUAGUGGUUUUAAACAGCAGAUCUCUCUUGUUCUUCCCUUGGGGCUGACAGGACACAGAUGUCAGCUUCAGCUAACAAUCACUACAGCCAAAAGACUUGUGGCUAAUGGCGAACCAUCUGGUAUUGCUGUUUUGAGAAGUGAAACAGUAUUCUCAGAAGUGAAGCAAGUUACAGAAGCAGAAUGAAGCAGGCAGUUAUUUUAUAUUAUUUUAUAUUUUCCUUAACAAAACAAGCUGAAGAAUUUGGAAAAUAGGAACUAAACACUGAGGGGUGGUAACACCAGAACUUCAAUCAGGGUGAGAGAGGAAUAGGAGGGUAGAUAGGAUAUCAUGAUUUCAAUUGAAGGAACAAUUGGAGAAGUUGUUUCUCCUUUCCCUUGUCUCAGUUCCCUUGCAUCCUGUAGCAGACCUCCCUGCCCAGUACUAGCGGGCUAUGAAUGGCACAUGCUUCUUGCUUUCCUAAUUCUGCUAUGCUGUUUUAUAUCAGGAGUUAGACCAAAGCCUUGCAUGACUCAAACAGGCGUGCCAGCUAACAAAGUUGGUCUAGUAUUGCUCCUUUGCUAAUGGCUGUCAAUGAGGCCUAAAUCCUGGUCUGUGAAGUGGCAGGGCCCUGCUAAAUUUCAUGCCACUGAGAUCAGCAUGACCCCAAUUAAAAUCCUUUCCCCUGAAUAUUGCUUCUUAGUGACCUUGUGGGUUGCUUGCUAAUUGUGCCUGGUCCCAGUAUUGGUUUCUUCUACCCUAGCAAGAUAAGCAGUGCCUACUCCAUAACAUCCCUGCCUGGUGCCAUCACACCAGGUGUUUGGCAAUAAUUCAC